AGCUUGCUCCUUGGGUGACGAGUGGCGGACGGGUGAGUAAUGCCUGGGAAACUGCCCGAUGGAGGGGGAUAACUACUGGAAACGGUAGCUAAUACCGCAUAACGUCUUCGGACCAAAGUGGGGGACCUUCGGGCCUCACACCAUCGGAUGUGCCCAGGUGGGAUUAGCUAGUAGGUGGGGUAAUGGCUCACCUAGGCGACGAUCCCUAGCUGGUCUGAGAGGAUGACCAGCCACACUGGAACUGAGACACGGUCCAGACUCCUACGGGAGGCAGCAGUGGGGAAUAUUGCACAAUGGGCGCAAGCCUGAUGCAGCCAUGCCGCGUGUAUGAAGAAGGCCUUCGGGUUGUAAAGUACUUUCAGUGGGGAGGAAGGCGAUGAAGUUAAUAGCUUCGUCGAUUGACGUUACCCGCAGAAGAAGCACCGGCUAACUCCGUGCCAGCAGCCGCGGUAAUACGGAGGGUGCAAGCGUUAAUCGGAAUUACUGGGCGUAAAGCGCACGCAGGCGGUCUGUCAAGUCGGAUGUGAAAUCCCCGGGCUCAACCUGGGAACUGCAUUCGAAACUGGCAGACUAGAGUCUUGUAGAGGGGGGUAGAAUUCCAGGUGUAGCGGUGAAAUGCGUAGAGAUCUGGAGGAAUACCGGUGGCGAAGGCGGCCCCCUGGACAAAGACUGACGCUCAGGUGCGAAAGCGU
rnacentral:rRNA from 1 species